rnacentral:rRNA from 1 species
GACGAACGCUGGCGGCGUGCUUAACACAUGCAAGUCGAACGGAAAGGCCCUGCUUUUGUGGGGUGCUCGAGUGGCGAACGGGUGAGUAACACGUGAGUAACCUGCCCUUGACUUUGGGAUAACUUCAGGAAACUGGGGCUAAUACCGGAUAGGAGCUCCUGCUGCAUGGUGGGGGUUGGAAAGUUUCGGCGGUUGGGGAUGGACUCGCGGCUUAUCAGCUUGUUGGUGGGGUAGUGGCUUACCAAGGCUUUGACGGGUAGCCGGCCUGAGAGGGUGACCGGCCACAAUGGGACUGAGAUACGGCCCAGACUCCUACGGGAGGCAGCAGGGGGGAAUAUGGCACAAUGGGCGGAAGCCUGAUGCAGCAACGCCGCGUGCGGGAUGACGGCCUUCGGGUUGUAAACCGCUUUCGCCUGUGACGAAGCGUGAGUGACGGUAAUGGGUAAAGAAGCACCGGCUAACUACGUG